rnacentral:lncRNA from 1 species
CUUUAGCUAAGUUAGCCAUGCUUAAGUUUAACUUUCCAUGCAAUCAAGAAAUACAAAAUGUUUAACACCAACGUAACCAUCUUGUUCUUCUUGCCAAGCAGACCUUCUUUGUACAGUUUUAUUCAGACAACAUUUCUGGAGAAGUACCACCUAGGGCAACUUUAAAAAGCUGAAUUUUUGUGAUUUAUGUCUCAUCUUUCAAUUUACCAAGAGCCACUAGUUUUCUUCAAGUUGUUCCA